rnacentral:rRNA from 1 species
GAUGAACGCUAGCUACAGGCUUAACACAUGCAAGUCGAGGGGAAACGACAUCGAAAGCUUGCUUUUGAUGGGCGUCGACCGGCGCACGGGUGAGUAACGCGUAUCCAACCUGCCCACCACUUGGUGAUAACCUUGCGAAUGUAAGACUAAUACCCAAUGACCUCUCUAGUAGACAUCUGAAAGAUUUUAAAGAUUUAUCGGUGAUGGAUGGGGAUGCGGCUGAUUAGCUUGUUGGCGGGGUAACGGCCCACCAAGGCGACGAUCAGUAGGGGUGCUGAGAGGAAGGUCCCCCUCAUUGGAACUGAGCCACGGUCCAAACUCCUACGGGAGGCAGCAGUGAGGAAUAUUGGUCAAUGGACGAGAGUCUGAACCAGCCAAGUAGCGUGCAGGAUGACGGCCCUAUGGGUUGUAAACUGCUUUUAUAAGGGAAUAAAGUGAGUCUCGUGAGACUUUUUGCAUGUACCUUAUGAAUAAGGACCGGCUAAUUCCGU